rnacentral:rRNA from 1 species
UACGAAGGGGGCUAGCGUUGCUCGGAAUUACUGGGCGUAAAGGGAGCGUAGGCGGACAUUUAAGUCAGGGGUGAAAUCCCAGAGCUCAACUCUGGAACUGCCUUUGAUACUGGAUGUCUUGAGUGUGAGAGAGGUAUGUGGAACUCCGAGUGUAGAGGUGAAAUUCGUAGAUAUUCGGAAAGAACACCAGUGGCGAAGGCGACAUACUGGCUCAUUACUGACGCUGAGGCUCGAAAGCGUGGGGAGCAAACAGG